rnacentral:misc_RNA from 1 species
AACCAUUCUCACCUGCGGCUAGACCUGCGGAAGGAUCAUUACAGAAUAAAUGUGAUAGGUUGUCGCUGGCCGUCGGGCAUGUGCACACUUGUCAUUUUUAUCUUUCCACCAAGUGCACUUUGCAUAGGACUGAAAACCUUUUGAUCAGGGGGUCACCUUUGAUUUCUGGAAACUGCUGUUGUAACUCAAUGACGGCUCUUUCUGACUUCAGUUCCUAUGAUUUAUACACACACACCAAUU